rnacentral:rRNA from 1 species
AUGGGCCUCCUCGACCAGCUCUCGGACGACACGGUCGCCGGCCCGCGGCCGGACCACGGUCUCGGCAGGCUCCGAAAGUACUCCUCCUUUUCGCCCUCCUCGUCAGCCGCGCCGACCACGGACGUCCAGCCGACGGUGACCCGCAGCAUCAGCAUCUCCCGGCCGCCGUCUCUCUCACCCCCGUCCGGCGAGUCGACUUCCUUGCCGUCCUCCCCGGCCAGUGCGCCGGACUCUCCGUUCGCAGCAGGUAGCAGUAGCACGCCGAGGGUGGACGGCUGGAGGGCGUUCCGCCGGAAAUCCAAGAUGGCCAACGUCGACGUCGUCCGGGAGGAGGCGACCGUCGGGCCCAGGAGCCCCAUUGUGUACGACUGGGUGGUGAUUAGUUCAUUGGACCGAUGA